GAUGAACGCUAGCGGCAGGCUUAAUACAUGCAAGUCGAACGGUAACAGGUCUUCGGACGCUGACGAGUGGCGCACGGGUGAGGAACACGUACACAAUCUACCUUAUACUGGAGAAUAGCCCCGGGAAGCUGGGAUUAAUACUCCAUAGUCUUUAAUGAUCACAUGAGAAAUAAAGUAAAGCUUCGGCGGUAUAAGAUGAGUGUGCGUCCCAUUAGAUUGUUGGUGAGGUAACGGCUCACCAAGUCGACGAUGGGUAGCUGGCGUGAGAGCGCGACCAGCCACACUGGCACUGAGACACGGCCCAGACUCCUACGGGAGGCAGCAGUGGGGAAUUUUGGACAAUGGGCGCAAGCCUGAUCCAGCCAUGCCGCGUGAGUGAAGAAGGCCUCGG
rnacentral:rRNA from 1 species